CCUACGGGUGGCUGCAGUGGGGAAUAUUGCACAAUGGGCGCAACCCUGAUGCAGCGACGCCGCGUGAGUGAAGAAGUAUUUCGGUAUGUAAAGCUCUAUCAGCAGGGAAGAAAACCAUGGUAGUUCCUUACUAAGCCGCGCCUGCUAACUACGUGCCAGCAGCGGCGGUAAUACGUAGGGGGCAAGCGUUCGCCGGAUUUAGUGGGUUUAAAGGGAGCGUAGGCGGGCGUUUAAGUCUGCAGUGAAAGGCGGGGGCUCAACCGUGGGACUGCUUUGGAAACUGUAGGUCUGGAGUGCACGGGAGGUAAGCGGAAUUCCUAGUGUAGCGGUGAAAUGCGUAGAUAUCAUGAGGAACACCAGUGGCGAAGGCGGGUGACCGGACUGCAACUGACGCUGAGGCUCGAAAGUGCGGGUAGCAAACAGGAUUAUAUACCCUUGUAGUC
rnacentral:rRNA from 1 species